rnacentral:rRNA from 1 species
GAUGAACGCUAGCGAUAGGCCUAACACAUGCAAGUCGAGGGGCAGCAUAGAGUAGCAAUACUUUGAUGGCGACCGGCGCACGGGUGAGUAACACGUAUGCAACCUACCUACAUCAGGGGAAUAACCCGGAGAAAUUCGGACUAAUACCGCAUAAUACAGGGAUGCCGCAUGGCAAUAUUUGUUAAAGAUUUAUCGGAUGUAGAUGGGCAUGCGUUCCAUUAGCUGGUUGGUAAGGUAACGGCUUACCAAGGCAACGAUGGAUAGGGGAACUGAGAGGUUUGUCCCCCACACUGGAACCGAGACACGGACCAGACUCCUACGGGAGGCAGCAGUGAGGAAUAUUGGUCAAUGGACGAGAGUCUGAACCAGCCAAAUCGCGUGAAGGAAGACUGCCCUACGGGUUGUAAACUUCUUUUGUAUAGGAAUAAAAGACAUUACGUGUAAUGUAUUGCAUGUACUGUACGAAUAAGCAUCGGCUAACUCCGUGCCAGCCGCCGCGGUAA